rnacentral:rRNA from 1 species
AUUCGUCCAAUUGAAGCAGAGGACAGUGGCGAACGGGUGAGUAACGCGUGAGGAACCUGCCUUGUACUGGGGGACAACAGUUGGAAACGACUGCUAAUACCGCAUAAGCCCACAGGUCGGCAUCGACCAGAGGGAAAAGGAGCAAUCCGCUUUGAGAUGGCCUCGCGUCCGAUUAGCUAGUUGGUGAGGUAACGGCCCACCAAGCCGACGAUCAGUAGCCGGUCUGAGAGGAUGAACGGCCACAUUGGGACUGAGAUACGGCCCAGACUCC